GAUGAACGCUGGCGGCGUGCCUAAUACAUGCAAGUCGAACGCACAGCGAAAGGUGCUUGCACCUUUCAAGUGAGUGGCGAACGGGUGAGUAACACGUGGAUAACCUACCUCAAGGUUGGGGAUAACAUUUGGAAACAGAUGCUAAUACCGAAUAAAACUUCGUAUCGCAUGAUACAAGGUUAAAAGGCGCUACGGCGUCACCUAGAGAUGGAUCCGCGGUGCAUUAGUUAGUUGGUGGGUAAAGGCUACAAGACAAUGAUGCAUAGCCGAGUUGAGAGACUGAUCGGCCACAUUGGGACUGGAGACACGGCCCAAACUCCUACGGGAGCUGCAGUAGGAAUCUUCCACAAUGGGCGAAAGCCUGAUGGAGCAACG
rnacentral:rRNA from 1 species